CAUACACACAUGCAUAGGGAGAUGCUGAGACACACACACAUAUACAAGCAGACAUACAUACUGACAAACAUACAUAUACAUACUGCAUAUUGAUAUAUACAUACAUACCGACAGGCAUACAUACAUACAGACACACACUGGCAUACACGCACUGGCAUACAUACACACACACAUACACUGGCAUACAUACACACAUGCACUGGCAUACACACACUAGCAUACACACACAUACACUGGCAUUCAUACACUGGCAUACAUACAUACACAUACACUGGCAUCCACACACUGGCAUACAUACACACAUACACUGGCAUUCAUACACACAUACACUGGCAUUCAUACACCGGCAUACACACUGGCACACACAUACACUGGCAUACACAAUGGCAUACACA